rnacentral:rRNA from 1 species
CACGUAGGGUGCAAGCGUUGUCCGGAAUUAUUGGGCGUAAAGAGCUCGUAGGCGGUUUGUCGCGUCGAAUGUGAAAACCCGGGGCUCAACCCCGGGCCUGCAUUCGAUACGGGCAGACUAGAGUUCGGUAGGGGAGUCUGGAAUUCCUGGUGUAGCGGUGAAAUGCGCAGAUAUCGGGAGGAACACCGGUGGCGAAGGCGGUUCUCUGGGCCUUACCUGACGCUGAGGGGCGAAAGCGUGGGGAGCGAACAGG